GGAAAAUUUUUGUCUAGCUAGAGGCUUGUAAAUGCACCAAUCAGCACUCUGUGUCUAGCUCAGGGAUUGUAAAUGCACCAAUCAGCACCCUGUCAAAACGGACCAAUAUGCUCUCUGUAAAAUGGACCAAUCAGCAGGAUGUGGGUGGGGCCGGAUAAGGGGAUAAAAGCAGGCUACCCGAGCCAGCAGCGGCAAGCCACUCAGGUCCCCUUCCAUGCUGUGGAAGCUUUGUUUUUUCACUCUUCACAAUAAAUCUUCCUGCUGGUCACUCUUUGGGUCCGCGCCGCCUUUAAGAGCUGUAACACUAACCGCAAAGGUCCGCAGCUUCACUCCUGAAACCAGCAAGACCACGAACCCACCGGAAGGAACUAACAACUCCAGAUGCGCUGCCUUUAAGAGCCGUAACACUGCUAAGGUCUGCAGCUUCACUCCUAAGCGAGACCACAAACCCACCAGAAGUUAGAAACUCUGGACACGUCCGAACAUCAGAAGGAACAAACUCCAGACACACCAUGUUUAAGAAUUGUAACACUCACCGUGAGGGUCCACGGCUUCAUUCUUGAAGUCAGCAAGACCAAGAACCCACCAAUUCCAGACACAUUAGGGUGGUAGGCCAGGCAUGGGGGAGAUCCUACAUUCCAGGUACCCCUAGCCCUUCCCCUAAGCAGGCUAACCUUGGGGAUUCCCUGGAGAUCAACCACUUCCAGUGAGAGGGAGUGGACAAAAGCCUCUGGACCAGCCAUUCCUUCUCUCUCUCCAAGUCCUUUUUCCUCUCUAGCAUCAAAACCAAGCCUAAGUAUUUUGAGGUUACAUGAACAUCUCUCCCCUUCUUUUCUGUGGCAGAGUCCCUUAGCAAAUAGAGGCACUGGGGCCUGAGUGGAUAGCUCUCCAAGGUACACUCAUUGACACAGGGUAUCAGGUAGGGCUAGCCCCAGCCCAAGGGAGUAAGGCAAACUGUCAGAACCUGGGCCAUAUGGGCCCUGGAGUGUGAGGAGAGACAAAUGGCUAAAGGCCCUGGCACCAUUCCUGGAUGUAAUUUAGCCACCCGAGCAUGGCUAAAACACUGGGUACUGAGAUUGGAGGAUUUAAGAGGAGCUGUGUUUAAAAUACCCUUAAACCUGGUAUUGGAAGGCUGAUGAUGCAGCAUUGCUAGAUCCCUGUCAUUGAAGGCCAAGGUGGCGUGGCUAUGUUUAAGUCCUGAGUCUGAAGAACUUUUAGAGUGUGGUUAAAGAAUCUUGGAUUUGGGACUGGAGGGUUAGGAAGGGGACCUGGUAAAGGUGUCCCUCAGAUUGUAGGGCUGGAGACUGAACUCUGAGUAAAAUCUAAAGGUGGGGUAGGAGAGGAAACAGCAAAGGCUAGAGAUGUAGAAAAAAAUAAAGCAGGAGAGUGUCAUGGAAGCUAAUGGAAGAACACAGUUGCAGAAGGAAGUAGUCAGAUGCAAAGACCAUUCCUCCAAGGGGACCGUCACUUGACACCUCUGCUCUCAGAAGUUAGAUCUCUGUCAUCUUCACAUCUAAAGGAAUGUAAGGGGUCAAAAGACUGUCCCCAAAGCUCUUAGAACAAGAGUGGGGUGGGCGUACAGUGGAUAGAUUUGACUCCAAGUAUCUCUUAAGGGGCCACUUCCAGCCAACACCUUACUCUCACUCCAUGAAGGUUUCUCCCGAGUGUGUCCUCUGACACGUGACAAGUAAUGAUGUCCACGUACAGCUCUGUCCACAUUACCUUACAAACAAGGCUUCUCCCUAAGCAUUUCCGCUGGUGUGGCUGAUGGCUGACUUGUUGCUAAAAUCACAUCCUCACUCCUUGCACCUCUAAAGCUUUUCCCCGAGUGUAUCUUCUGGUGUAUGAUGAGCUGUGACUUUCUCCUAAAGCUUUGCCCACACUCCACGCAUGCAUAAGGCUUCUCCCCCGAGUGUAUCCUCUGAUGUAAGCUGAGAGUGGACUUGUGGCUAAAGUUUCGCCCACACUCGAUGCAUGCGUAAGGUUUCUCUCCUGUGUGUGUCCUCCAGUGUCUGUUGAGGAGUAUCUUCCGGCCAAAUCCCCGCCCACAUUCCCCACACACAUAAGGCUUCUCUCCCGUGUGUGUCCUCCAGUGUCCAUUGAGGACUAUCCUCCGGCUAAAUCCCCGCCCACAUUCCCCACACACAUAAGGCUUCUCCCCUGAGUGUGUUCUCCGAUGUGAUUUGAGCGACGACUUCUGGCUAAAUCCAUGCCCACACUCCUCACACACGUGAGGUUUCACCUCUGAAUGUGUCCACUGGUGUAGGAGGAGAGUUGAUUUAGCACGAAAGCCUCGCCCACACUCUCUGCAAACAAAAGGCUUCUCAUCUGAAUGUAUCCUCUGGUGUGUGUUGAGACAUGAUCUCCUUACAAAGCCUCGGCCUCAAUCUCUGCACACAUAAGGCUUAUCCCCCGUGUGAAUUCUCUGGUGCUUAAUGAGCUCUGACUUUUCACGAAAGCCUCGCCCACACACUGUGCACAUAAACGAUUUCUCCCUUGUGUGUGUCCUCUGAUGUCUGAUGAGGUAUGGCUUGCAGCUAAAGCCUCGCCCACAAUGGCUGCACACAUAAGGUUUCUCCCCGGAGUGUGUACUCAGGUGGUUGCGGAGGACUGACUCAACUAUAAAGCCUCGCCCACACUCUCCGCAGACAUAAGGCUUUUCUCCUGUGUGUGUCCUCUGGUGUAUGAUGAGCUGUGACUUCCUGCUAAAGCCUCGCCCACACUCCCUGCACACCUGUGACUGCCUUUUGUCUGAAGAUUUUUCUGCUGUGACUGCCUUCUGUCUGAACAGGUUUGACUUCUGGUUAAAAGCUAGUGCACACUCCCCAAACGUGACUGCUCCAAACCCUGGGGUUUCUGCCCUCUUGGAAAUUCUGUCUACUUCCUCAGAGCUUGCAUUCUGGGCUGGACUGAGCUGUAUCUCUAAUAUUCUGUUGCCUCCCCAAGAGCUUAUUGGUGGUCUCUGGAACAGGCUAGAGAAACCCACUAAAGCCCCCCUUUCAUUUGUACUCCAAAACAAGGGUCUGACGCCUCCUUCCACUCGUUGAUCUUCUGCUUCAGCCCCCCUGUGAUUUUUAUCAGAAGGAUGUUGUGACUGUGGCUGAUCCUCUGGGCAGGGAUUUCCUGGGUGGAGUUGAUUUCCUGCAUGGAAACCUGGAAUAGGAUGAUUGUGUAGCUCAUCUUGGCUGAGGAACUGCUGACUGCCAAAGGCCAGAGGGCAAGAAGGGCAGGUAUGGACUUCUGGCUUUGAUUCUGC
rnacentral:lncRNA from 10 species